AGCACAGGUCACAGAUGGAUACCAGUGUAUGAUCAAGGUCACUGAGCAUGAAGCCUUCUCUCCUGGCGUGCACAGGUUUGGCUGGGAGCCACUUACCGUUUCAUAGAACUGUACUUGCUGCUCCAGGUAGAGGCGGAUGACGCUGUUGUAAUCGUAGAUCCGGUUACUGUGGAAGUGAUUCAUCUCAGCUACAACAAAAUUAUCCCAGGGAUUAGUUCCCAGCAAGAUUUCGAUUGACAACAUGCGAUCUCUCUGCUUGGUAUUUAAGAAGACAAGCUAAGCACUGGCUGAAGACACGACAAUGCUGACAUUCUACAGACUUGGUACUGAAGAGGAAAGCACUGCGACACUAAGGACAGAGGGAACAUCAGCUCCUGAGCCAACUCCAUUCAAGUCUCUCGGGAGCAAAGGCUGCCACUCUUAAUGCAAUAGCACUAGAACCUGCAGUUUUAUGCACCAGGAGAAGAGAAACAGACUGUCCUCCGUGUAAGUCUAUACUGCUGGUGUUUCAGGAGUACAGAGGAGACCAGGCAUGGUGGUCAGAAAGCCACAUGCAUGUAGCAGGUACACAGUGCCCGGAGCGUGUCCUUUCUCUCCUGCUAGGAAACAAUUCCAUGGGUUGCUGCUUGAGUGUACACACUGGUUUUAUUCUACUUUUGUAGGAGGCGCGAAUGAGUUUCAAGUCCUUCUCAGAUGGAAGUAGCUGUAAAUGCUGCCAAGGAAUCUCAUUCCAGCACCACUCCACUGCUUGUUAUUUGUGGAAAUAACAUACCAUGUAGCAGGGAAUCUUUGAGUGAUCAUUCUUGUCCAGGAAAACCUCGACCUCUACUGGUAAACUAGGCUCUGCGCCUAACACUCCACUCUGCUGCUGUAUAAAUUCUGACCAGGACGACCCUCCUGGGUGAAUACCCGCUACAGUACUAAGUUAGCGGAACUACACAAAGGCUGUUUAUGUGUGUUGCUCUUGCAGACUCUUCCUGCAGCAGCACUAAGAUCACAGAACAGCCCUUUGCAGAAAUUUUCCUAAUCAAUCCAAGGACCCUCAGGACACUAAGAGCACCACAGAGACUCUAGGAGGAACUAGUAACAGGGUUAAAACAUGAAGAUGUACCAAACCACCUUUUCAAUUUAGUUUUAAAACUUUAUGGUGGGAGUUAUAGCUUGCUACUACUUCUCCUUCUUUUUGAGAUGGGGGCACCUCAUUUUGUAGUCCUGUCUGGCAUGGAACUUACUUUGUAGACGAGGCUGGCCUUGAACUCAUGUAGACCUGCCUGCCUCUGCCUCCUGGCUGGAUUGCAGGCUUGUGGCACCACAUCCAGGUAGUUUCUUUUUAAACAAUGUGUCAGUGCUGCACGCCUGGCAGCUCCUCCUAACACUGGCCCUUACCUUGUGAGCGCCGAUGAUGUCUGGGAAGCAUCCAAGAAAGCCUUUGUACUCGUGGUUGCACUCCAUCAGGAAGUGCAGGUCCUUCUUUGGCUGUAACAAGACACAGGCUGCCUGUUACUGGUGGAGGAAUUUUAAAAAUCAAGGAGAAGAAACUGAGGAGCAUACUCUUGUCCCAAAACUAAAAGAAGCGCCAAACUCCAUCCUACUUUUUCCUGUCUUUUUGUCGUUUCUACCCUAAUCCCUGGCUUCUCUAUGGCUAGCUCUGGUCAGCUAGUCUUUGACUCUGCCCCAAUUCAAGGUUAACUUAUUAACAGUCUUGGAGGGUCACAGUGUGACCGAAUGUCCUGCAACAGUCUGAUAACUGAUAACUGAUGUGGGAGGGCCCAGCCCGGCAGCCCCAUCCCUCGGCAGGUGGUCCUUGCUGUGUAAGACAGUGCGAGCCACAGAGUGAGCCAGCGAGGAGCCUCCACGGUUCACGCUUAGGUUUCUGUCCUCACUGACUGUGACAUGGAAGUAUGAGCCAAAUAAAUCCUCCCCUUCCCAAGUUCCUGUUGGUCAGAAAUUUUUUUUUCUUUUUUACGUACACAGUAUUCUGCCUGCACACCAGAAGAGGGCACCAGAUCUCAUGACAGAUGGCUGUGAGCCACCAUGUUGUUGCUGGGAAUUGAACUCAGGACCUUUGGGAGAGCAGCCAGUGCUCUUAACCGCUGAGUCAUCUCUCCAGCGCCCCCCAAAAUGUCUCAUAACAGCAACAGAAUGCCAACUAGAACACUCAGUGUUAAGCAUUUAGAAUUAGUAUUCCUAACUAAAAACAAUCCUGGGGGGGGGGUCCCACAAGUAUUGAAGAACAAUCUAGGCCAUUUAACACAGACCCAAACUUCAUUUAGAUUUUUUUUUCUGUUGUCUUUUUGAGAAAGGAUCUUACUCUGUAACUAAGAUCAGCUCAGAACUCACUAUACAGCCCAGGCUAGAUCUGAACUCAAGACUAUCCCAUACCCCAGCCUCCCAAGCUCUGGGAUUACCGGUAUGAGCUACCACACCUGGCUUCACUGGAAAACACAUCAUCACUAAAUGAAAUUAACGGGAAGCCACAGAAGCAGAGAAGAGGUGUCUAGCUGGGUUUACAUAACGGACGUGGGUUGGGAAGUGUGGUUAUGGAAUACCUGCUCUGCCACGAGGCUGGCGAUCUCCUCGUAUGUCUUCCCAGCUUCUGUUAUUGCAUCGUUCAGAUCUGUUUCCCCUGAAAUGAAUUGCAUGACAUCUUGUAAGCAACUAAUAUUACAAAUAUUUUCUUUAUA